AGGAGGCCAAGGCUCACCCAGGGCUGUAGCACCAAGCGGUAGGUAUGUCUUCACCAUCUUCAGGAGCGAACAUUAUUGUUCUGAGCUUCUCGUAGCUGCAACUUCCAACCAAAUCUACCAGCCAGGAGAGAAAACCAAUGACAUUUGGCCAUGAGUGAGAUGAGUUUGCUAGAAACAAUGAAAACUGCUCAACCAAGAUAACACAGUCGGAGAUGUACCUGAAUGGGCUAUUCUGGAGAGAUUGCAAAUGCCAAGAAGCUGCACCAGGAAGGGAUAACAGAUGUAAUGAGAUGGUGCAGUGUAGAGUCUACAGUGAAACAUUAUACCAAUGCUAACACCAAAUUCACUAAUAUUAUCUCAAAGGCCGCGCCAUAAUUUAAGCAGUUAGUCGCUGGCUUCCCACCGCUGUGGUCUAGACAAGUGGAA